rnacentral:rRNA from 1 species
AUUGAACGCUGGCGGCAUGCCUUACACAUGCAAGUCGAACGGUAACAGGUCUUCGGAUGCUGACGAGUGGCGAACGGGUGAGUAAUACAUCGGAACGUGCCCGAGAGUGGGGGAUAACGAAGCGAAAGCUUUGCUAAUACCGCAUACGAUCUCAGGAUGAAAGCAGGGGACCGCAAGGCCUUGCGCUCACGGAGCGGCCGAUGGCAGAUUAGGUAGUUGGUGGGAUAAAAGCUUACCAAGCCGACGAGCUGUAGCUGGUCUGAGAGGACGACCAGCCACACUGGGACUGAGACACGGCCCAGACUCCUACGGGAGGCAGCAGUGGGGAAUUUUGGACAAUGGGAGCAAGCCUGAUCCAGCCAUGCCGCGUGCAGGAUGAAGGCCUUCGGGUUGUAAACUGCUUUUGUACGGAACGAAAAGACUCCUUCUAAUAAAGGGGGUCCAUGACGGUACCGUAAGAAUAAGCACCGGCUAACUACGUGCCAGCCGCCGCGGUAACAC